rnacentral:lncRNA from 1 species
GACUGAAAACUUCUAUACAUCAUCAAUUUUUCACAACAAUUGAUAAACAGUGAUCCAUAAAUAACUUUGUAAAUCAAACAUUGAUUCAUUAAAUCGAUUCUCUUCACUAGAAUCAACACUAACACAAAAGAAACAAGAAAACUAAGAAGAAGAGAUAGCAUCAAGCUUAUCCCGACUCAUGACUAUCAUAUUUUGGUAUUUUCUUCCUUUCUCCCAUCCUCCUUAUACUACCCCGAGAUACCAACUCCUAUACUAUGGAUGAUAACUACUUUUCUUGACUAUUCAUCCAUUCUACU